rnacentral:rRNA from 1 species
UUUUCUGUCGGCGCCCAGGCGAGACGGGUAGCCGACCUGAGAGGGUGACCGGCCACACUGGGACUGAGACACGGCCCAGACUCCUACGGGAGGCAGCAGUGGGGAAUAUUGCGCAAUGGGCGAAAGCCUGACGCAGCGACGCCGCGUGAGGGACGACGGCCUUCGGGUUGUAAACCUCUUUCAGCAGGGACGAAGCGCAAGUGACGGUACCUGCAGAAGAAGCACCGGCCAACUACGUGCCAGCAGCCGCGGCCG